GCUGGGUGCAGUGGUGCAUGCCUGUAAUCCCAGCAGCUCAGGAGGCUGAGACAGGAGGAUCACAAGUUCAAACCCAGCCUCAACAACCGCGAGGUGCUAAGUAACUCAGUGAGACCUGUCUCUA
rnacentral:sRNA from 1 species